UAGGUCUUUCAUGGCUCAAACUUUCUACAUUUCCCCUUGUCUUUUUAACCAAAUAGGAGAAACUCUUUCCCUUAUAAUUUCUCCUCUCACUCCCUUCUCAAAUUCUCUCUCAAAUAAUUAUACUCAUCAUGAUGUUCUCUGUUUUACCCUCCCAAAACCCCAUAAAAAUCACAAAACUUUCACUUUUUUUUUUUUUUUUUUUUCUGAUUCUCACAUUCAUUACCAAUAAUUCAUAAAAAUCAAAAAAAUAAAAGUAGGAAGCUUGAUUUUUGAGGGGAAGGUCGCCUGACUCGAAGGCUUAAUUCCCAAAUUUCUUGCUCAAAUCACUUUUUAAUUCAUUAAAUAUUAUAAAUUGCCUUCGGACCAGGCUUCAUUCCCCUCAAUUUGACCUUCCAAAUCAUUCAGAUCAUCAAAAUAAUCAACAAUUUCACUUUUUUCUGCUUCAAUUUCAGUUGGGUAUGAUCUAUUUUCUCCUUUUCUUCAUUUUUUUAGUAUAUGGUGCGCUAAGGAAAGGAUCGGACUGGUGCAAGGGAAGAGAGGAUCGUAUUAGAUCUUUUACGGGAAAACUGGUAUAUAGACCAACCGAUAUAAGACCUCGUUUUUUUAUUUCAGAUCUCUUAUUCCCAAUAUAAUUUCGUGAUAAUUUGAUGAUUUUUUUAAUUAUGAGUAUGUUCCAAACGAUUAUUAAAUUUCUUUUUCCCAAUUUAGUUUCAUGAUAAUUUGAUGGAAUAUUUAUAUUUUAAUUAUGGGUAUGUUACAAUAUUGAUAAAAUCUGAUUCUUUAUUUCAAAUCUCAUAUUCCCAAUUUAAUUUCAUGAUAAUUUGAUGAAAUUUUUAUUUUUUAAUUAUGGGUUUAUAGUGAUGAUUAAGGGUUUUGAUCUAUGUAGAAUGCAGAUUAGUGUAAUGAUGAAAAAGUUAAUUUUUUUGGGUGACAGAGUAGGUAAGUUUUUGAGAUAAAGGAUUCAUCAUUGCAAAUUUAAUUAAUUAAUUUAUUUAUAUUUUUGUGUUUUUAUUUAUAUUUGUAGAAUGUUUGAGAAUUUCAACGCUAGUUAUCAUAGUUACUUAUGAUUUGUCAGUCAUUUGACUCUUUGUUGUAAUCCCUAGUUUUCAUCAUCUUAUUCUCAUCAUGACUUCUUUGAAGCUUCUAAAAUUUAUGCCUCCUCUUCUAGGGUUUAUACUUUAUAUUUAUACCCUCUUUUUUUUUUUUUUUUUUCAUUUUCUUCCUAUUUUUUCUACCAUUUUUUUCCCAAAUUCAAUUUUUUAAUUGCUCGGAAAAUCAUGAAUUAGUUUAAUAGUUCUAACUCUCGUACAGAAAGAUUAAUUUCCUCUGCUUAUCUGUAGGGAUUAUCCUGAAUUCGGAAUCUAAAUUUAGCAAGAUCUAAUUGAAUUGUUAUUAUUGGUUUUUUUCAAUUUUUUUAUUUACAUAUUUAUUCACAAAUUUUAAAUCAUUCACAUGAACUACGUUUUAGAUCAUAAUAACCACAAGUGAGUUUUAAUUACAAAGAGGAAUAAUUUCUUUUUUAAAAAUAUUAAAAAUUAGCUCAUGUUCAAUUAAUGUUGGUAGGUGAAUAAAUAACAUACAAACAAAAAUAUUAUUUAAUAUGGUACAUAAUUUCUUCAGUGAAGAUUUUGCAGGCAACUAAAAUGGAGCUAGUCAGGUCAAAUGGAGGUUAUGAUAUGGUAUAAAAUUCUUUCAAAUUAACUGGAAUAAUAAGUUUUUUUCCUUUUUUUUUUUGUUUUUCUUUUUUUUUUUUUGUUUUUUUAGAUUUUUAAUAGCCCUAAAUUUAGAUUAAAAAAUAGAAAAAAUAAAUAAAAAUGGUCCCUUUUGGUAUGUUCUAUCUUGUGUUUGCUUAGAUUCCUUAUUCAGAAUAAUUUGUUUGGUUUGAAAGUUCUAUGGGGAUUGGAGAAUGAGAUUCAUCUUUUAAUAGGCCAAUUUGUCAUGAACUUGAGGCAUCUCUUUAGUUUGGCUUACACCGUCUCCGUCCGUUUGAGUUUUUACCUUUUAACUUAAUCAUGUGAGAGUUUUUAAUAUUAUAUGUAAAUUUAAAAUGACAGAGUAAGUUAACAGUUUUCUAAUGCAAAUUCAAAGUAAGAGACGAAAAAGUAAACAUAAAUUAUUGUGAGAGACCGUCUCUUUAAAAGACGCAUUAGAUAUAUGGGCUAAAUAGCCCAAUUAAUACAAAUUAAAGAGAAAAAAAAAAUAUAGACUUCUUGUUUUUAAGUCGUCUAUUUAAAAGAAAGAUGGUCUCUCACAAUAGUAGAUGAAUAGUAUAUGCUUGUUGAAUCUUUUUAUUCUUGUUUUCUUGUCUUUUUAUACCAUAGAAAGUCAAAUUUACAGAUAGAAAUUGAAUUACUUCUAAAUCUUUUUUUAUUUGUUGCAUUGUGAUUUGAGACCAAAAAAUACAUUUUUAUUGUAUAAAAUUGUGAUAUACUCUUAUAUACCACAUUUCGUUUUAUAAUUUCUGACAAUAAUAUUUUAUUAUUUCAAUGUCAAUAAGCAAUUUCCGCUUUAAAAGAAAAAUUACGCAAUAAAAUCGAGUUUGUCGAGAUAUAUAUAAACAAUCUAAAAUGUAGACAGCGUAGUACACCAAGUCCUGAACAUCCAUCAUGCCGGUCGCGUAAUAAGCAUGGCCACAAGCCGCAAUGUUUCAUUUGCCUCCAACAAACCAAGGAAUCAGCCGGAAUCCAAUCGUCGACAGCUUAAGGUCGUCUUAUAUGAGACCAUCUCACGGUGAGACAACCUCAAAACAAAAAGCCUAUAAGCUAAAAGUUUCUAUUAUUGGAGUAUUUAACCCAAGUAUGAGACAUGUCUCACGGUGAGACCGUCUCAUUUCAGAAUUUGUGAUUAACAUAUUAAAAUAAUGUUGCCACGAAAUUAUACAUCUUGUUGUGAAAAAAGAAAAAAAUGAAUUCAAUAAAUAAAAGAAUCACAAAGUAAUUUAUCUUUUCGUGGAUCCGAUAAAAAACAUUAUGAGUAUAGUAAUGGAAAAUUUUUAACGAUUCCGAUAAGGGCCGCUAUUUCUAAUCUCGCCCCUAGGCCACCGAAAAUUCAGAAACGGGCCUGUAACAAGUAUUACUAUUUAGUUAUUUACCGUAAAACUUCCGUCACACAAGAGCCCUUUUAAGCUAAAAGUAUGGAUGCAACAGUAACCCUCCUCAAACCUGGUGCGAAAUAUUUCAUUUGAAUUUGAGGGUAGUUGAAAAUCAAAUCUGUGACCUGUUGUCAUGUUGACUCUAAUACCUUGUCAAGGAACCAACUUAAUCAAAAGUUUAAGAUGAUGGUUAAGGCUUCAGAAUAUAUUAUAUAUUCUAAUAGGUAAUAUAUAUCCCACAAUAGUUAUUUUUGUCAUAUUUUUUAUUUCCAACCAAAUAUAUGGGGUAAAUUUAGUGAGAUGGAUGGAUUAGUAAAGUGAAUUUUGAUAGUGUGAACAAUGCAAGGACAUGUACGACAGCGUAAACAUCGGGUGUUGGGUGGCAAUGGCAUCUCAGAUCUUACUUCUCAUCUCAGUGCUGACUGCUGAAAAGAUGACAACUUUGUUCAAUCUUUACCUUUUAUUGCUGAUUUCAGUGUUUUCUAAUUUCUAUUUUCUCCUGUGGGUAACUUCAUUUUUACCCCUUUGUAUUUAAGUUAUUCCCAACACAAUUAGAAUAUGGGGUGUUUAGUAAAUUAGUUUAUCGAGUAAUUUUUAGCUUAUUUUGAUAUAAAUAAAGAGUAGGGUGGUCAAACCAAUUAAUAUUAGUGUUGAUGAAUUAGCUGGUUGAAACAGAUUAUUGAUACGAAUAAAUUAUUUUUAAACAAGCUUCUUAUAGCAGCAAGUUCAAAAUCAGUUGUUCAAACCGGUUAAUAAAAUCAGCUGGUCAAAUCAGCCACUAUAAUCAACUAUCAGUUACCAGCUAUCAACAAUUUGUCAAACAUCCUCCAUGUUUAGCGGGUGAUAAAUAUUGGGGAGCCUUAAAAAAAUGGUGUGUUGGUUAUUUGUUUAGUUCUAAGUGACAUUAAAAUAAUGAAUUAGAUUAAGGUUAUGUUUAGUUAAAUUGAUUAUUAGUGAUUUAAAUGAUUUUUAUUGGUUGAAAUUGAUUUUUACUGUUCACAA